UCAUGGCUGUGAGAGUGAAUAUAAUUCUUUUAGUUCUUUUUACCAUUGUUAUCAGUCAUUGCUAUGGAAAAAUAGGUAGUAAGGCCGAUAGCAUGGAAACAUCAAACAGAUACAACAUCAGUUCAAUUAUCACGAGUCUAAAGACUAUCUAUGGUGAUAUUUAUGAUUGCGUAGAUAUAUAUAAACAACCAGGUAUAGACCAUCCAAUAAUGGCAACGAAAAGAACUCAGAUGAUAAUCUCUAAGGAAUUAGAGAAGCAAAAGGCUAGACUUGUGUUUGAGGAACAAAGUUCAACAGCUAAAUAUUAUAAUAAU